rnacentral:sRNA from 1 species
CAUUAAUCAACGUUAUAACACACACGUAUCGACACAUACGGCGGGGUGCUCUGGAGCUUUAUUGCUUUGGGGUCGGCGUUAUGGGAUACGUGGAGGCAUAAC